CCUACGGUGGGCAGCAGUGGGGAAUAUUGGGCAAUGGGCGCAAGCCUGACCCAGCAACGCCGCGUGAAGGAAGAAGGCUUUCGGGUUGUAAACUUCUUUUAUGAGGGACGAAAGAAAUGACGGUACCUCAUGAAUAAGCCACUGCUAACUACGUGACAGCAGCCGCGGUAAUCCGUAGGUGGCAAACAUUAUCCGGAUUUACUGGGUGUAAAGGGCGUUUAGGCGGGACUGCACGUCAGAUGUGAAAAUUAUGGGUUCAACCCCUCACCUGCAUGUGAAACUGUAGUUCUUGAGAGAUGGAGAGGCAGACGGAAUUCCGUGUGUAGCGGUGAAAUGCGUAGAUAUACGGAGGAACACCAGUGGCGAAGGCGGCCUGCUGGACAUUAACUGACGCUGAGGCGCGAAAGCGUGGGGAGCAAACAGGAUUAGAUACCCGAGUAGUC
rnacentral:rRNA from 1 species